CCUUUCUCUCUGCCUGCCUCUCUGCCUACUUGUGAUCUGUCAAAUCUUUAAAAGGAAAAUGUCCUUUCUAUAUAUGAUUUUGUAAUACUGCUGAACUAUAGCUGUUCCUUAAGAGCCUAAACUAUAUCUAAACAGGAACGAUUUCCUUUACAAGACAGGCAUUGAAGAAAGGCAAAGGUAAAAGUCAGCAAAGGCCGUUUGUUAUAGUCUUGAACUCUUAAUAGUUUUUAAAUUUUUAUGUACUUACCCUUGUUGGAAAGAUUACUAUGGGGUGAGGUUUGUGAAGAUGGAAGAGACAGGGAACACACCUGCAUGUGGGGUGAGAUUUGUAUUGGCAGAGAUGUCUUUUUCCAUGUAUCCUAAUUUUUGCCUUGUGCAACAGGCAAAAAAAAAAAAAAAACCAUUUUCUAGGUUUUGUCAAGAAGUUGACAUCCUGCUACUGCUCUACCUGAAUUUAUAAACUGAAGUAUAUCAAUUUUUGAACUUCUAUUAAGGAAAAUUUCCAGUAGAAGUAGUACAAUACCCGUAUCUCAGCUCCAAAAGUGAUCAGUUCGUGGUCAGCCUACCUUGUUCAUACCUACCAAUUCACCAUUCUACUUUGCACGCUUAUUUGGAAGAAAAUCCCAGACAACUGAUUUCAUCCCCAACUAUUUCAGUCUAAAAGGGUUCUAGGUUCCUGGAGCUCAAAACGGGGACCAGAGACCUGUAAACAACAGCCAAGGAGUAGCAAACUGGCUUACAAAAUACAAGCUGCAAAAAUGGUACAAAGAAUUCCCGUGUAGCCUUCACCCAGAUUUCCCAACUAGCUUCAUCACUCUCUCUCCCUCUGCAUGUGUGUGUACUGGAUUUUCCGAUACAUUUGAGAGUAAGUUGCAGUCAUGAUGUCCCCUUACCUGUAUUUCACUGUAUACUCCCUAAAAAUAAGGAUCUUUAUCUUCCAUAUCCAUAGUAGGAUUAUCGAAGUCAGGAAAUUAAAAAAAAAAUUAUACUGACCUAAUCAGAUAUUACCAGUUUUCCUACCAAUGCCCUUUUCUGGUCCAGGAUCCAAUCUAGAAUCACAUAUUGCCAUUAAUUUACUUUCUUCUGAAAUAGUUCCUCAGUUUGUCUGUCUUUCAUGACCUCGACAUUUUUUGUUUUGAAGAGCUUUAUUUUUUCCAACAUUAUAGCUUGAUACAUUUCAAACCUCUAAGGAAAAUUAAGAGCAGUAAAAACCAGUACCUUUAUAUUCAUUACCCAAGGUUCAUUAGUAAUUAUAUUUUGUUACACACGUAUGAUUUCUCUGGGUAUAUAUAUGUAGCCACAUAUUUUUGUUUUCUGAACCAUUUAAGUUACUUUACCCUUAAAUACUCUAACACAUAUUACCAAAGAUCGAGGACAUUUGCCCCCAUAGCCACAACUCAACUGUCAUCACAGGAAAUUUAACAUUGAUACAAAUAUGUAAUAUACAGUUAUCUUAGAAUUUCCCAGAUUGUUGUAAUUGUUGUUGUUUAUAACUGGGGGUUGGUUGUUUGAUGCAGGGUCCAAAGUUUAUAUAUUGUAUUUAGUUUACUAUCUCCUAAGCUGCAUUAAUCUAGAAAACUCCCCAUGAUUAGAUGCACGUUUAAACAUUUUUGGUAGGCCCACUACAUAGAUGAUACUGUGUUCUCAGUGUAUCACUUAGCAGGCACAUGUCAGUUUGUCCCAUUAUCAUUAAGUUUGGUCAUUUGACUAAAGUGGUGUCUACCAUAGUCCUCCAUUAUAAAGGUACUUUUAAUCUGUACUCUGUGGGGUUAUACAUGAAGACUGAGUGAAUUCCCUGUUCCUUGACAGUUUUCACCCAUGGCUUUAGCAUCCAUUAAUGGUCUUACUGGAGUCAAGUUUUUGUUUUGUUUUAGGUUUUACUAUAGCAGUUGGAAAAUGGUGGUUUUUCUAUUUCUAGCUGCUUAAACAUUUGUUGGUUGGCAUUCUUCUAUGAAGAGAGCUUUCCCUUCAUCUCUUACUAUUUCAAGUUUCUAUAAGAUCUUAAGAUCUUAAAAAAAAAAAAUUCCUCUCAUUGUGAUGCUGACAUCACCCCAAAUUAGGCCAGUGGAGACUCCUACAGGCUAGCUCCUUUGGCCUUUCGAUAUGUCCCCAUUAGUUUUGGGCAUUAUGUUACUUUCUCGUACAACAAGAUAGUCCAGGUUCACCUUCUACUUUCUCUGCUUCAACCCCGGAACAAGCCAUUCCUCUAAGAACCACAAGUUCCUGUUAGUGAGGGACCAAAUUCUGGCAGAAGGUAAGCUCAUUGCUACUUGGUAUCAUCGUUUCUACGUCUUUUCGUAUGAAACCUCCAAUUCUACUCCAUCACUAUAGAGUUCUUUUGCUCCUUCCUUCCAGAGUAAACCAGGAGCUUUGUAGAAUGCUCUUUAAUUGAGGUCUGCCCGGUGUUUCAUGAUUAGACUCAGGUUUUGUGUUUUUGGUAGGUGUACAACAGAAGUGAGGUUGUAUCUUCCUCAGUGCAUCAGAUUAGGAGGCCCAUGUCGAUUGGUUUCAUGACUGAUGGUGUUAACAUUGGUCAUCGAUGAAGGUGGUGUCUACCAGUGUUCUCUACUUAAAUGUUACUAGUUCCCCCUUUAUAAGUAAUAGAACCUUACAGAAGAGGUGUUUUGAGAUCACAUACAUGCUGUUUUUCAUCAUCAUUCUGCCUACUAAUUUUAGCAUCCACUGAUGUUAGCCUGAAACAUUUAUUGAAAAUGAUUUUCUAAUUCCAGCAUUCCUUCCAUAUUUAUUAGUUGGAAUCCCACUAUAAGGAAGAGCUUUCCCUUCUUCAUUUACUCAUUUGUUUAUGUAUAUCAGUGUGUAACCAUCUUGUGGGUCAUAAUCCAUUACCAUCCUUUAUUUUGUUAUAAUUAUCUAAGAUGUGGCCAAUAAGAAUUGCUUUUAAGCUAGUUCCUUUGUCCUUUGAGAUGAAUACUUUUUUUAAAGAUUUAUUUUAGAGAUAGAGUACACUCAAGGGAGCACAAGUAAGGGAGGGACAGAGAGAGAGGGAGAGACAAUCUCAACCAGACUCCAUGCUGAGCGUGGAGCCCAAUGCAGGGAUCAGUCUAAAGACUCUGAGACCAUGACCUGAGCCAAAAUCAAGAGUCGGCCACUUAACUGACUGAUGAAUAUUUUUAAGACUAUUCUUCACAUAUGUGACUUUCCAAAAUAUUCACAACAUUUGUACGUUCUCUAGGAGUGUGUUAUGAGAAGCCCUUGGGCUGUCUCAUCAGCACUGGCUGUAGAGGAGAUAGAGUGACUUUUAAAGGUCAUGGUCACUACAAUGCCAAUGUAUAGGGCUUCUCACGACAGUUUCCUUUUGGCCCAUGACAGCCUUCCUCACCCAUGAUCAGCUCCCAUACUCCCAACAGUCUGUCCUUGCCUUACAAGAACAUUUUAGUUUGCAGUAAGAGUUAGCAGUAAGUACUUCCGCCCAUUAGAGGUCACUUUUGGCUAGAUGUGAAAGAUUUCUCUCCAAAUCUCUUACCAGCUGACUGGCAAGUUGUACUCUGAGCACAAUAAGGAUUUGUCUAUUUCCAAAGGAACACUAAUGUCUUUAGACGUGUCCACUUAAGCCUCAUUUAAAUCCUUAAUCCAGACUUGAAUCCUGGAUGACAACCCGAAGAGUACAUAACUUUGCUAAGUUCUGCUGGGAGAAAAAUAAAGACAGAGAUGCCUGUUUACAUAAGCACUAUGUUUUACAUAUGUUAACUCAUUUCACAUCUUUCAUAAAAACCCUAUGGGGUAUGUUGGGGGGAACUCAUGAAAGGUGAUUUCACCCAGGCAGUAAGUGGCUUAGCCAUGAUUCAAACCCAAAUACUUCGUUCCAGAGUGUGGAUCGAAGUGUGCAUCAACCUGCGUGGCUUUUCUAGAGUCCCACUGUAAUUAAAUCUUUCUAUAUUCAAGCCUGGAAACUUUGGCUUCUUUAUAAAGCAUCAGAGCUCUUUUGGAGAUUAGCGGUGGAUGCUUCUUAUAAGCUGUGUGCCACUGGGAACUAGUCCAGUGGAUGCAUGCCUGUGCCCACACCUGAGCCCAAUGUGACCUCUGUGGCUGCAGGCUGGCCAGGUCCUGGGAUCAACCCCAGGAACCCAGCAGCUUCACCACCACCCCAUUCAGUGUUGCACUCAGACAACCUGAGGCCACCAGUUUGGCCUUUGCCUCCUAGGAGCUGCAGCAUCUGGCUUUGGAAGAAGCUUCAAAUAAUUCUCCAAGGUACUUGAUAAGGUUCCCGACCUCUCCUCCUUGGCAGAGAGGGUGGUGAAAGGGGGCAUGGGUUCUGGUGUUCGAUCAGCCUGCAUCAAAAGCCUGGUGCUCCUGCUCAGUGGCCUUGGGCAGAACUGCUUAGCUCCAUGAGCCUGAGUUCCUUCAUCCCCUGGUAGACGAUGGAGACACUUCCCGGCACACGUGUUGUGAGAAUUAAUGAUGUACGUAAAGGAUGCUGGUGCAGGGUAGGAGGUACUUGGUAGAUUUUACUUUUAUCACUUCCUUAAAAGUAGAGCCCUAUUCCCAAUCCGAGUGACUGACUGAUGUCGUGUCCUAGGUGGCUCUGCCUUUUCCCCAAACACUAGUGCCUCUCUCUGCUGGUUGUUACUCCUUGAGAAAUGAAAACACAUCCCUCCAUGCCGGAAAAGGAAGGCCUUCAGAAAUUAGAAGAAAUGCAAUUUACUGACCAAGCCUCCCUCUGCAACAGAAAAAAGAACCUUCCCUCUUAUCUGGGUUCAGAACUGGCAAGCAACAUCGGCGUGGGCACUUCAUAAACAUUCACUGACCAAAACAUCGACAGUGCAAAGCAACCAUUCUGUUAUUUCAAGAACCCUUCUAAAAUGCCAGUGAUUGAAGCAGGAUCUUGACUAUCCUUUGCAAAUCUUGAAGAAGAAAAGCCCCAUUCAGCUGGCCACAUGGAAUAAAACAAGCACAGUGGAUUAACCUCUCCUGGAGCUGGGACAUAUUCUCAAAGAGCAGAGCAAACUGAAGCAGUGGGUAGGAUUUUUAAGUGACUACUCCCAAAACAUCCCAAGCAAUGGGGAUUCAGUGCCUCCACCUUGUAGGGAAAAAAACCCACCUUACUUCACUUUGCACGGACAUGCAGGCUGUGCCUAUGAACAGAAAUGGCUGAAGCUGGCAUGGGGGGGGGGGGGGCUGGAGGGGGCAGUUGGUUUUAGUCAAACGUAAACCAUCCCCAUCGUGAUAUAUCAGUCGAGCUGAAAGACAUUCAGGGAGAACAUGGUGAAGCCAAUGGGUUGUUA